GGAUGGAUGGAUGGAUGGAUAAAUGGAUAUGUAGACAGACAGAUGGUCAGACAGACAGGCAUGUGGAUAAAUGGGUAGAUGGAAGGAUAGAUAAGGAUAUAUAGAUAGAUAGAUAGAUAGAUAGAUAGAUAGAUAGAUAGAUAGAUAGAUAGAUGGGAACAGGACCUGCCUUGGGCUUUUGAAACUUCAAGGUCCACCUCCAGUAACUCAGUUCAUCCAACAAGGCCACACCUCCUAAUAGUUCUCAUCCUUUCAAGCAGGUCCACUUCCAGGUGACUGAAAUUUCAAAUAUAUGAGCCAGUAGGAACCAUUCUUAUUCUAAUAAACCAUAAUAUUUUUAUAUCUCUAACUUUGGCUUCCUCUUCAACAUUUUUCCCACAAAGAUUUAGCUGUUGAAGUAAAGGGACAUUCACUUCCAUAUCAAUUUUAAAAAUAACCCUUGAAUUCUUUAUUUUUUCUAUCUUUGAAUCAAUCAUCAAAACAUCAAAGGGCCAGUGAGGUUUUUAGAAGUCAACCAUGUUACAGCUGCAUGAUCAAAGCUAUCACUGGGGUAAAAGAGUACCAUUAUCUUAACUGGAUGAAAUUUAUUAACACUGAUUACCAGAUUCCCCCUACAAAAUAAAAGGGUCCUUAGUGGCUUGGUUUAUCUCCUUUCUAGUCAACUCAACACACUGCAGUUAAUCUGUUGUUUGUGGCCAUACUUUCCAGGCAAUAGUAACUUAUGUUCUUUGUAGGAUGAUUUCAGCUGCAAGUAACAGAAUCAUGACCUCAAACUCACUUAAACAAUAAAGAGGCUGUACUGCUUUUUACAGUACAAAAUUGAAAAGUCCAGUACUAGAGUAGACUUCAGGCACCAUUCAAUUACAACUCACCUUCUUUUUAUCUAGGUUGUCUCAUCCUGACAUUAUUUUCAUUAAGAGGAGAGAGUGAACAUCCCAAAGGAAAGAACAGUAUAUUGAUCAUGAGUGUAGUCCUAGAUACCAUUUGAUUGACAUCAUAAUUCAAUUUUUCCAUUGAUUAAACAUGUAACCUGGAUCACUUCUUCAACCUCUGUGCAUGAAGGUUACAUUAUAGUCAAUAAUCAAAUAAUCAGAAAAUCUUUUUAAUAGAAUUGUGAUGAGUUAAGUGAGAUAAAUUAUACAAUAGAGUAAGAAAGCUAAGUACAUGACCAAUAUUAAUGUUAUCAGGAACUUAUCAAAGCAACUUAAAGAAAGGAUUUAUUAUGGCUUAUGAUUCCAGAGGGAGAGAUUCCUUUAUGUGUGGCAUUAGUCAAGAAAAGCAUGGUAGUAGACCUAUUUUUCUGUCUAUACCCAGUAAGCAGACACAGGGAUAAGGAAGUAGGGUGAGGCUAUAACCCUUCACAUCCCAUUCACAAUGAUGCAUAUCCUUAACCAAGGCUCCACUUUCUAAAAGUCCCGUAAACUCCCCAGACAGACUGCCAACUGGAGAUCAAGGGUUCAAAUAUAUGAGCCUAAUAACAUACUCAAACCAUCAUAAAUAAGAACUUCAUAGUCUAUAACUGGGACCAGCAUAUUCCCCUGUAUUUCUAAUGGUUAAAAAAAAAAAUCAGAAACUGGAAGGUAGCUCAGCAGUUCAGAGCACAGUCUGCUCCUUCAGAGGACCAGGUUUCAACUUCAAACAGUCACAUGGUUGCUCACUACUUUCUGUACCUCCAACUUGAAAGGAUUAAGUGCCUUCAUCUCCAUGGCAACAGACAUACAGAUGAUACACACAAACACACACACACACACACACACACACACACAGAUGUCCAUAAACUCAAUAUAUCUGUUGAGAUAAAAAUAAAAUAUUGAAAUAAGAAAAUAUAAAUCAUAGACUUGCUGGUGUUACAUACAAAUCAAUAAUUAUAAUAUGAACAUAUGAUCAGGGUCACUCUGUUUAAGUUAGGCCUCAUGGAGGCCAUGCCUUCCACACAAAAUAUGAGGAAAAAAAAAGGGUGACUUAACGAAAGUCGAAGAGCAACAUCUGAGUCUCUUUUCUGUAAGCAAUAUGUUUUGCAUUUAAUCAUUUAAUCAUAACUUUUUUAAAAAGUACAAAUUUCUUGCAAAGAAAUUUGGGGACUAUGUGAAAGUUGCUGUCCAUGGUAGUGACUACAUACUGUACAUACUUUCAUGUCAUGAGAAUGCUGCACAUUUUUAUUUAAAAUUAUGUAAAAAAAAUCAGCAAUUGACAUAACCAAAAUUCUUUUCAUCAAUUAAUUUAAUGAGACAGGUUAAUAGUAAGGCAUUUGCUUGCCAUUGAAAUGCUCAAUAGGAAGUCUAGGAGCAAAUAGCUCUUCACGAAUAAAAAUUAUAAAAAAGAAUAACCAGGGUCAAAAAAAAAAAGAUUGUGCUCUUAAUGAUGGAUUAUAAACUAUAAGCUGAAAUCCACCCUUUCUUUCACAAGUUGUCCACGUUCCUUAAUCUCAGUAAUAGAAACUAAACCAAGACACAUUUCUAGCUCCUGCCCUUUUCUCUGGUUUUCCAUUUAUCUUGAAGAUACGUUUAUCCUAGGCCAUAGUUGUCCAUGAUUUUGGAAUCUUCUACCUCUACCUCCAGAAUUCUGCCACUAUGCAUGUAUGCCAUCAUACCCACCCUAAUAUUUGACUACAUGUCAAUAUAUUAAAUGCCAACAUAGUAACAAAAAUCAUACUCAAAUAAAAUUUCAUUCACAGGUGCUGGGAUAUGUGGUCCUGGAUUUGAUUCAGCAUACAUACAAUAGCCCUUUGUGGAGCAAACUGUUGUGUCAGCACAAAUGAUAUGGGAAUAAUCGUGUCCCUAGACAUAGCUGUCCAGCCAAUGAAACUGAAUGCAUGAAUUACAGUUACCAUGAAAGACCCUAUUUUUCAAAAAGUCAGAUUUGAAGAGGUCACUUCCUGUAUUGUGGCCCGCAAGAACAAUUGCAGCCUGAGUUCUGAUCUCUCCUCUUCAACUGGGGGAGAUCUCUGUGAUCAACUGCCCUAAAUGGAGCCUGGGGUAUCACGUGAUGGUGUGAGCAACAGAGGGAUUCAGUGUUUUUAUUCCUUCUGAGAUCAAGCUUCUCUAAGGAAUAUUCUCUAGUGCUUACACAGUUAUUUCACAGAAUAUGCUACGAUAUAUAGCUUCUUUUGCUGGAUUGUUUGUCUUAUAUUACUUAAGAAUGGCCAGAAGCCUGGUUAUAAAUCCAUCCUGAAUCAUGUUACUAUCCACUAAAAGAAACAGAAGUUUAAGGAUGCUAUCUUCUGUCAUGUGCUUGGCUUGGCUUCAGGGUCUUGGAUCUAACUGCGGACGAGAGGAAAUGAGAAAAUGACGGAAAGAUACAGAGAUUAAAAAAACAAACAAACAAACAAACAAACAAAAAACUGCCAUCCUGUGGAUAGGUUUUCUGCUGGAGUAAAGGCAUCAUCUGGGACACUAAAGGAUUUUUUAUAUACAAAAACGCAGGGUUAUUGCACAUAGCUGAACCUCAUCAGGAUUAUUGCAUACAGAUAACAAGAAGGCAUGGUUUAUGGUAUGCUGCUUAAUGUAAGAGGUGGGUUUAGCCAAUCUCAGGCUGUAAAUAUCUGGGACAAGAAUGAUAUCCUGGUGGAUUUUUUUUUUCUGCAAGCACUAUCAGCAUCCACACAUGGACCAGAAGGAAAAGUAUUGCCAUUCCUUUCUGAGUCUGUGCUUACAGUCCGUGAUACAGCUGUGACCAUGUAACAACACGCAUACACUCAGGAUUUCACACAUUCAAGGAUCCCUUCAAUGCCCCCACACUUCUCAUCUUCAGUAAGUGGAAAGAAAAUUAGCUGCAUUGUUAAAUAAUACCCCAUUAAUUAUAAAUAGCACAAUUAUCUUCUGUAAUGCCAAGGUGAUAUCCUAUCAUCUGUGUUUGUUGAAGGAAUGUUUUGUAAUUCCAUCCUAGGAUUUGUGUGACAAUCACUUUUCCCUGUGUAGUCAAAGCUAAUACGGAAGAGUAAUUCAAUUAGUGAAAUAUCCAUAUCUGUUUUCACUGUUUCCUCCAGAUUUCUCAGAGGCCUCAUUAUAGGAGCAUUAUCUCUGUCAGGGACCUAAUUAUUUGUCUUCAUAUUCGAAGCAAUUUACCUUUCAUCUUUAAUCGUGGCUUCCUUGAACCUUUUCUUCUGUUGUACUCACUUCAAUUUUCUGUAGCUCAUGUUAGGUCAUGCCAUCCGUGUGGAUUUCCAUUCCAGGGUUUCCUGUGCAUUUUUAUCCAUUGCUCCCUAACAAUUACUAUCGAUCACUUUUCACCUCCAGCAUAUUUAUAUCUCCAAAGUACAUCUUGUUAUUGAGCAUCUUUUUAAUUAGCUCAAGUAUUUUCUUUCUGCCCUUCCUCAUAUUCAGGGGCAUCUGGCUAGGAACCAACAUUUUAUACUUAAAAUCCAUUUGACUGAGCAUAAUUCAUAUUUAGCUUUAAAAUGUUCGCCACUGAUUCACUUAGACAAAAAAAAAUAGGUUUUGAGAAACCGUGCUUAUGGCUUUCUUUAGAUAAUGAAGGUGUCCUGCUCUUUAGCAUGUUUCUGUCUUAAAGCAUGAAACAUUUAGUCUAUCAUUCAUCCCACAAGACUUGCGUUAGACUCAGAAAAUAGCAAUGCUCAAUCUGAAUAACAAAGAUGAGACCUGAAGGCAGCUUAUUUUCCCUUAGUGUUAUGGAGAAGUAGCACAGUGUACACCAUCAUCUUUUGUAACCGCAGUGUGUUCUUCACUUGCUAUAAGAGCAAGUCUCUAUACUUGUUUCUUCUGAGCAUUCUAUGCCCUGGUUCCUAAUUCUUCUCUUUUUCCUUUCCUCCCUUUCUUCCUUUAUUCCUCCCAACUUACUUCCUUUUAUAAUAUCACAAUCUUAUAUCAAUUCUCUAAGGAAAUAUGCCUCGUCUAAUAUAUGUGGAAACUGAAAUGGAACCAUAAUGCUGAUGUUAUAUGCUAAACAAUAAGCAAAAUACAUAACCAGUCCCAAUUCCAUGUGAUUCCUUUGGCAGCUACUAUAUACUAUUAGAAAAAAUGAAACUAGUACCUUUUAAUAAGUGCAACUUUGUGAAAAUGUCAUCAUUUAUCAAAGCAAAUGGGACAUAUUCAUUGACUAAU
rnacentral:lncRNA from 1 species